rnacentral:tRNA from 1 species
GCCGGAGUGGCGGAAUAGGCAGACGCAGCGGACUUAAAAUCCGCUUCUCAUUCUGGGAGUGCCGGUUCAAGUCCGGCCUCCGGCACCA